CUGAACCAGCCAAGUAGCGUGAAGGAUGACUGCCCUACGGGUUGUAAACUUCUUUUAUACGGGAAUAAAGUCCGCUACGAGUAGCGGUUUGUAUGCACCGUACGAAUAAGCAUCGGCUAAUUCCGUGCCAGCAGCCGCGGUAAUACGGAAGAUGCGAGCGUUAUCCGGAUUUAUUGGGUUUAAGGGGAGCGUAGGCGGGAUGUUAAGUCAGUUGUGAAAGUUUGCGG
rnacentral:rRNA from 1 species